CUCUACAUGAGUCUAGUGGUUAGGAUUCCUGGCUUUCACCCAGCCGGCCCGGGUUCGAUUCCCGGUGUAGGAU
rnacentral:tRNA from 1 species